UAGAAAUUGAAUAAUCAAACAUCUUUUUCAGUACCUUCCCUGUUUUAAUCAUCAGGCCAAAAUUACAGUAUUUUUGCACUGUAAGGUUAAAGUAUAACGUUAAUCUGAUGAGUAGUUCCUGGCUGAGCUGCCUGUGACACCUUGGAGCAGUGGUUCUUAACCUGUUAUGUUAGAGUAUCAUGAUCAGGAAUAUCAGCCCUGAGCUAACAUCUGCUGCCAAUCCUCCUCUUUUCACUGAAGAAGACUGGCCCUGAGCUAACAUCCAUGCCCAUCUUCCUCUACUUUAUACGUGGGAUGGCUACCACAGCAUGGUUUGCCAAGCGGUGCCAUGUCCGCACCUGGGAUCCGAACCCGCGAACCCUGGGCCACCUAAGCUGAAUGUGCGCACUUAACCGCUGCGCCACUGCACCGGCCUCUGGCAGGUUUAAUUAGUAGUUUUUCACAGCAACUUUGAGCUCUGCUGGUUUGGAGAUCUAGUUCCCAAAGGAGGAAUGCUUCUACCAAAGGCACAAAAAUAAGUCCAUUGAUUUACCAGAUCGCUUGCUCUGAGGGGAAGCCAGCCUCCAUGUUGUGAAGCUAUUUAAGUAGCCCUGUGGAGAAGAAAGGACACCCCCUGCCAAGAACCAGCAUCAUUUUACCUGCAAUGUGAGUGAGCCAUCUUGGAAUGCAUCCUCUAGCUCUCCCCAAGUCUGUGAUGACUGCAGCCCAGCCAACAUCUUGGUCGUGAUUUCAUGGGAGGCAGAACUGCUCAGUUAAGCCACUCCUGAAUUCCCAACCCACAGAAACCGUGUAAGAUAAAUGUUUGUUCUUGUUGUAAACCACUAAGUUUUAGAGUAAUUUGUUAUGCAGCA
rnacentral:lncRNA from 1 species